UUACGGGAGGCAGCAGGAAGGAAUUUUGCACAAUGAGCGAAAGCUUGAUGCAGCAAUGCCGCGUGGGCGAUGAAGGCCUUCGGGUUGUAAAGCCCUUUUCUGAGGGAAGAGUAAGGACGGUACCUCAGGAAUAAGUCUCGGCUAACUACGUGCCAGCAGCCGCGGUAACACGUAGGAGACGAGCGUUAUCCGGAUUUACUGGGUGUAAAGCGCAUGUAGGCGGGUUCCCAAGUCGGGCAUGAAAUCUUUCGGCUUAACCGGGAGGAGUGGUCCGAUACUAGGAGUCUUGAGGGCAGGAGAGGGAAGCAGAAUUCCCGGUGUAGUGGUGGAAUACGUAGAUAUCGGGAGGAAUACCAGUGGCGAAAGCGGCUUCCUGGCCUGUGCCUGACGCUAAGAUGCGAAAGCGUGGGUAGCAAACGGGAUUAGAUACCCCGGUAGG
rnacentral:rRNA from 1 species